rnacentral:rRNA from 1 species
UGGGGAAUUUUGCACAAUGGGGGAAACCCUGAUGCAGCGACGCCGCGUGAUUUAGAAGGCCUUCGGGUUGUAAAAAUCUUUUUUAUGGGAUGAAAAUGACAGUACCAUAAGAAUAAGGUCCGGCUAAAUACGUGCCAGCAGCCGCGGUAAUACGGAAGGUCCAGGCGUUAUCCGGAUUUAUUGGGUUUAAAGGGAGCGUAGGCUGUUUGUUAUGCGUGUUGUGAAAUGUAGGAGCUCAACUUUUAGAUUGCAGCGCGAACUGGCAGACUUGAGUGCGCACAACGUAGGCGGAAUUCAUGGUGUAGCGGUGAAAUGCUUAGAUAUCAUGACGAACUCCGAUUGCGAAAGCAGCUUACGGGAGCGCAACUGACGCUAAAGCUCGAAGGUGCGGGUAUCGAACAGG